GUCUCCCUGUAGCUCAGUGGUUAGAGCAUCCGACCGGUGUGCGGAAGGUCAUGGUUUGACUACUCCCAUCAGGGACU